rnacentral:rRNA from 1 species
UACGUAGGGUGCAGGCGUUAAUCGGAAUUACUGGGCGUAAAGCGUGCGCAGGCGGCUCCUUAAGUCAGAUGUGAAAGCCCCGGGCUUAACCUGGGAACUGCGUUUGAAACUGGGGGAGCUAGAGUGUAGAAGAGGGGGGUGGAAUUCCAGGUGUAGCAGUGAAAUGCGUAGAGAUCUGGAGGAACACCGAUGGCGAAGGCAGCCCCCUGGGCUAACACUGACGCUCAUGCACGAAAGCGUGGGGAGCAAACAGGAUUAGAGUACCC